rnacentral:rRNA from 1 species
ACUCCUACGGGAGGCAGCAGUAGGGAAUCUUCCACAAUGGGCGCAAGCCUGAUGGAGCAACACCGCGUGAGUGAAGAAGGGUUUCGGCUCGUAAAGCUCUGUUGUUAAAGAAGAACACGUAUGAGAGUAACUGUUCAUACGUUGACGGUAUUUAACCAGAAAGUCACGGCUAACUACGUGCCAGCAGCCGCGGUAAUACGUAGGUGGCAAGCGUUAUCCGGAUUUAUUGGGCGUAAAGAGAGUGCAGGCGGUUUUCUAAGUCUGAUGUGAAAGCCUUCGGCUUAACCGGGAGAAGUGCAUCGGAAACUGGAUAACUUGAGUGCAGAAGAGGGUAGUGGAACUCCAUGUGUAGCGGUGGAAUGCGUAGAUAUAUGGAAGAACACCAGUGGCGAAGGCGGCUACCUGGUCUGCAACUGACGCUGAGACUCGAAAACAUGGGUAGCGAACAGGAUUAGAUACCCUGGUAGGAUAGCG